rnacentral:ncRNA from 1 species
CUUAAUUUGAAAGCCAUAUUUCGACCUAGACGUUUUCGGGACGCGUAAGAACCUGCCCUUGGGAGGGGAACAAUAGUUGGAAACGGCUACUAAUACCCCGUAGGUUGAGGAGCAAAAGGAGGAAUCCGCCUAAGGAGAGGCUCGCGUCUAAUUAGCUAGUUGGUGAGGCCAUAGCUUACCAAGGUGAUGAUCAAUAGCUAGUCCGAGAGGAUGAUCAGCCACAUUGGGACUGAGACACGGCCCAGACUCCUAUGGGAGGUAGCAGUGGGGAAUUUUCCGCAAGAAAUAGGCCCAUUCAGCGGCUUUUUGCUCAAUUUCACGCA